rnacentral:lncRNA from 1 species
CCCGGUCAUCGGCAGCAUGCACUGACUGCUCGGCUCGCUGCCGCACCACGCCCUGCCUGCGCCGUCGAGUUGCUCAGCCCAAGGCGCGCCCGCUCCUUCCGCCGCGUCCGCGAGGCCGAGCCGGCGAGGCUCGUGCGCGCCGUCGCCGCGUCCCCGGCGUGGCCGCUCGUGAACGUCGUCGGCGGCGAGCAUGUCGCGGCCAUGAUGACCGCCGUCGGCGCGCGGCCGGAGGAGUACCUGGAGGAGCUGGGCAAGGUGGCGAAGCUCGCCGCCGGCUUCAACCUGGUCGACCUGUUCCCGGAGUCGCGGCUCGUGCGGGCAGCGCAAGCGGCCCACGGGAAGAUCCACAGCAUCAUGGACGCCAUGGUCCAGGACCAUCUGAAGGCGAUGGAGGAGCGCAGAGAGGAAGUCGCAGAUGGCGUCGUCGACGACGGCGACGGCGACGGCGCCGAUAGGGAUGAAGAGCUCCUUAGCAUCCUACUGAGGUUUCAGAGGGAUGGUGCCCUCGCGCAAUGCAAGGUAGAAACAAGGUGGAUGAGGCAUACAUAUUGGAGGGUCCCUUCAAUAUUACAUGCAAUUGGUCAUCAAAGAAACGUUAAGAUUGCACCUUCCAUUCCCUUUGCUUUUCCCAAGGUUAUGUACCGAAACAUGCAAGAUAAUGGGAUUUGA